rnacentral:rRNA from 1 species
UUUACGGGAGGCAGCAGUCGGGAAUUUUGCCCAAUGGACGAAAGUCUGAGGCAGCAACUCCGCGUGAGGGACGAGGGCUCUAGGGUCGUAAACCUCUUUUCUCAGGGAAGAUCCAAGACGGUACCUGAGGAAUAAGCCCCGGCUAACUACGUGCCAGCAGCCGCGGUAAUACGUAGGUGGCAAGCGUUGUCCGGAUUUACUGGGCGUA